rnacentral:rRNA from 1 species
GAUGAACGCUGGCGGCGUGCCUAAUACAUGCAAGUCGAGCGAACAGAUGAGGAGCUUGCUCCUCUGACGUUAGCGGCGGACGGGUGAGUAACACGUGGAUAACCUACCUAUAAGACUGGGAUAACUUCGGGAAACCGGAGCUAAUACCGGAUAAUAUAUUGAACCGCAUGGUUCAAUAGUGAAAGACGGUUUUGCUGUCACUUAUAGAUGGAUCCGCGCCGCAUUAGCUAGUUGGUAAGGUAACGGCUUACCAAGGCGACGAUGCGUAGCCGACCUGAGAGGGUGAUCGGCCACACUGGAAUUGAGACACGGUCCAGACUCCUACGGGAGGCAGCAGUAGGGAAUCUUCCGCAAUGGGCGAAAGCCUGACGGAGCAACGCCGCGUGAGUGAUGAAGGUCUUCGGAUCGUAAAACUCUGUUAUUAGGGAAGAACAAAUGUGUAAGUAACUAUGCACGUCUUGACGGUACCUAAUCAGAAAGCCACGGCUAACUACGU